rnacentral:rRNA from 1 species
UUGAACGCUGGCGGCAUGCCUUACACAUGCAAGUCGAACGGUAGAGUAGCAAUACUCGAGAGUGGCGAACGGGUGAGUAAUAUAUCGGAACGUGCCCAGUCGUGGGGGAUAACGUAGAGAAAUUUACGCUAAUACCGCAUACGAUCUAAGGAUGAAAGCGGGGGACUCGCAAGGGCCUCGCGCGAUUGGAGCGGCUGAUAUCAGAUUAGGUUGUUGGUGAGGUAAAAGCUCACCAAGCCGACGAUCUGUAGCUGGUUUGAGAGAACGACCAGCCACACUGGGACUGAGACACGGCCCAGACUCCUACGGGAGGCAGCAGUGGGGAAUUUUGGACAAUGGGCGAAAGCCUGAUCCAGCAAUGCCGCGUGCAGGAAGAAGGCCUUCGGGUUGUAAACUGCUUUUGUACGGAACGAAACGGUCCUUUCUAAUAAAGAGGGCUAAUGACGGUACCGUAAGAAUAAGCACCGGCUAACUACGU